rnacentral:lncRNA from 7 species
AAGCAGAAGGCUGAGAGAAGGUGGCUGGGAACACCAGAACAUGAUGCCAAAGAGAACGCCGCAGGAAAUGCCCAAACAGGAGGGCAAGAGAACACUGCAGGGAACGCCAAAACUGAAUGCUGAAGAGAACGUGGCAGAAGAAAAGAAGUUCAAUAGCCAAGAGAAUGUGGCAUGGAACGCAAAAACAGGGGGCAAGGGAAUGCCUAGGUAAGGGCCAAGAGAAUGUGGAAGGAAAUGGCCAAGAGAACACGACAAGAAACACCAAAACAGAAGGGCAAGAGAGCACUGCAGGGAACGCCAAAACUGAAUGUUGAAGUGAAUGUGGCCAAGAAAGUCAAGGGCAAUGGCCAAGAGAACAUGACAAGGAAUGCAAAAGCAAGAGGACAAGAGAAUGCAGUAAGGAACGCCAAGGGCAAAGGGAAGGAGAACACCGCAGUGAAAGGCCAGAGCCAAGGAGAACGUGCAAAGAAUAGGACGGGCAGCCUUCGGGGCACCCUGAAGUGCAGAAAGGAGCUCUGGGAACUCCACCUUAUGUCUCACUGAGUAAGCGGUAAACACUGGUGGGUGUGCAUUGUCCUUACCUGCUGGGCAGACAAUUACCAGUCAGCAAAGUGGGGUUCCAGGGCAUCCCGGGAAAUGCAGCUUUCGGUUCCUUGCUGUUCCCGU